rnacentral:rRNA from 1 species
AGCAGCCGCGGUAAUUCCAGCUCCAAUAGCGUAUAUUAAAGUUGUUGCAGUUAAAAAGCUCGUAGUUGAAUUUCGGAAUCUGUCCGUCGGUCGGGCUUCACUGUCCGUACUGGUGUGGUGGGUUCUUACCUUCUGAAUAACCAGCAUGCCAUUAAUUUGGUGCGUUGGGGAAGCAGGACUAUUACCUUGAAAAAAUUAGAGUGCUCAAAGCAGGCCAGUGCCUGAAUACAUUAGCAUGGAAUAAUAAAAUAGGACGGCAUGGUUCUAUUUUGUUGGUUUCUAGGAUCACCGUAAUGAUUAAUAGGGAUAGUUGGGGGCAUUAGUAUUCAAUUGUCAGAGGUGAAAUUCUUGGAUUUAUUGAAGACUAACUUCUGUGAAAGCAUUUGCCAAGGAUGUUUUCAUUAAUCAAGAACGAAAGUUAGGGGAUCGAAGACGAUCAGAUACCGUCGUAGUCUUAACCAUAAACUAUGCCGACUAGGGAUCGGACGAUGUUAAUUUUUAAUGACUCGUUCGGCGCCUU